UACGGGGGGAGCAAGCGUUGUUCGGAAUUACUGGGCGUAAAGGGCUCGUAGGCGGCCAACUAAGUCGGACGUGAAAUCCCCAGGCUUAACUUGGGAACUGCGUCCGAUACUGGAUGGCUUGAAUCCGGGAGAGGGAUGCGGAAUUCCAGGUGUAGCGGUGAAAUGCGUAGAUAUCUGGAAGAACACCGGUGGCGAAGGCGGCGUUCUGGACUGCUACUGACACUGAGGAACGAAAGCCAGGGGAGCAAACGGG
rnacentral:rRNA from 1 species